GAUGAACGCUGGCGGCGUGCCUAAUACAUGCCAGUCGAGCGAACGGACGAGAAGCUUGCUUCUCUGAUGUUAGCGGCGGACGGGUGAGUAACACGUGGAUAACCUACCUAUAAGACUGGGAUAACUUCGGGAAACCGGAGCUAAUACCGGAUAAUAUUUUGAACCGCAUGGUUCAAAAGUGAAAGACGGUCUUGCUGUCACUUAUAGAUGGAUCCGCGCUGCAUUAGCUAGUUGGUAAGGUAACGGCUUACCAAGGCAACGAUGCAUAGCCGACCUGAGAGGGUGAUCGGCCACACUGGAACUGAGACACGGUCCAGACUCCUACGGGAGGCAGCAGUAGGGAAUCUUCCGCAAUGGGCGAAAGCCUGACGGAGCAACGCCGCGUGAGUGAUGAAGGUCUUCGGAUCGUAAAACUCUGUUAUUAGGGAAGAACAUAUGUGUAAGUAACUGUGCACAUCUUGACGGUACCUAAUCAGGAAGCCACGGCUAACUACGUG
rnacentral:rRNA from 1 species